CUGAGCCCCUGUUGCCACUCACCACCCCCCUUUUUCUACGGAGCUCGAGGCUGGACUUGGCGCAGAGGACACUUGUGUGUGUGCUGGGGACGGAACCAGGGCCUUGUGCCUGUGAGGCAAGCACCCUCCCAACUGAGCCUGACCUCCAGCCCAGAGGGCACAUUGACCUCGUAGGUGACUGGACUUAUUUGGCUAAUUCUCCUACCACACCCUAGGAAUGGAGGAUCUUAAGAAGGCAGCGUCUCCGACUUCAAGGAAUUCAUGGUCUAGGUUGGGUGCAGUCUCUGAAAAAACACCUGCACGUCGCCUGGAAUCUUAUCCACGGGAUGAGUACCUGGUCGAGUCCUGGAAUGUUCCGGAAUCAGGACUCCAGAGAUGCAAUCCUGUGUUAAAUGAUGUCAACUUUCAAUGCAGAGGCAGGAGCCGGGGAUCCUCCACAGAAUCGCCCGAGUUGGCAAUUUGUGCUCCAGAGCUGAUGUGGUGUGUGCAUCCCGCCAGAUGUCCCAGGAGCAGAAAGUCCAUGCAGAGCUGGGUCAUCUGUUCUGCCCUGAUGUCCUGACAUGUGCACAUUCUACCAACCCCCUGUACCUUCAGCUUACAGGUAAGGGAGGAAGGGAAGGAAGGAAAGAGACUAAGGUGUGCCCCACUUUCCCGUUUCCUUUGAUGUCACCAUCGGCAGCACAGGUGAUUGGUGAACACAGGGGGUGAUGUGAAGGGCAGAGGCCAGGAUGGGCUUCCUUGCUGGUCUCUUUCUUAGUGUGCCAUUGGCUGCUCUGUGCAUUUGAUGCAACUUCUUAU